rnacentral:rRNA from 1 species
AGCAGCCGCGGUAAUUCCAGCUCCAAUAGCGUAUAUUAAAGUUGCUGCAGUUAAAAGCUCGUAGUUGAAUUUCGGGACUAAUAUGUCGGUCGUGCCUCGGUACGUACUGGUUUAUUGGUUUCUCCUUUCUGAAGAACCAUGAUGUCAUUUAUUUGGUGUCGUGGGGAAUCAGGACUGUUACUUUGAAAAAUUAGAGUGUUUAAAGCGGGCUCACGCUUGAAUACAUUAGCAUGGAAUAAUGAAAUAGGACGUUUGAUUCUAUUUUGUUGGUUUCUAGGGUCGACGUAAUGAUUAAUAGGGAUAGUUGGGGGCAUUAGUAUUCAAUUGUCAGAGGUGAAAUUCUUGGAUUUAUUGAAGACUAACUACUGCGAAAGCAUUUGCCAAGGAUGUUUUCAUUAAUCAAGAACGAAAGUUAGGGAU